rnacentral:lncRNA from 12 species
AUGUUUACACAGGAUAGGUUUCCUCCCCUAACUGCCUCUUCCAUGUCACAGUGUGUACUUGGAGCCAAGGCUUCAGAAAUUCUUUUUUUUUUUUUUUUUUUUUUUUCAGAAAUUCUAAGAAAAGGAGUUAGAGAAGUCAGGCUUCAGUCCUCGGAAAGAAUCCUGCAAUACACAGCACCUCCAGAAGCCAGUUUGUCCAGCCCACCCUCAUGGACAAUGAAGCGUGGCAAGAGGAUGCCCCACACAAUAGCGACACCUUCCCCCCUGUUCUCUGCCACCUUUCCAGAACCACCUGAGGCUUGCCCCACCAGGCACCUUCUCUGCAGUCCUGCGUGGGGCUGCUUCUCAGGGCCUUCCCUGCUCUUCUCCCAUCCACCAAAACAGGAGCAUCUCCAGAAAGUAGUUCAAAAGACGGGCACACUGGAGACGCUGUCUCCCUGCAGAGAACCCUGCUGCCCUGAGAUCCUCUCUUCAAUCUGUCCUUCAUGGCCUACUUAGAAUGAAUAAUCAGAAUUCCAGGAAGCUCCAGGAAUUUCCACUUCAGACUCCUAAUGGCAGUCAGUAAAUCUUGCUGAUCAGUGCAGCCUUCUGAAUGAAGCCAAUUUUUCACCAAUCAUCUCUCUCAGAUUUGGUAAAAUGGGCAGCAAUUCAUGUACCUUCUCAAGCUCUUAGCCUAUAAGUAAGCAAGUUCCUUUCUAUUAUCUCAGAUCACUACCUUUGGGCCUUUCUUACAAAGUUCAUGAAAUCUGAAGUCUGGGCACUUCCUGGCAGCCCUCUUUGAAGUAGAAAAGUUAAUACUAUCUGGUGCAUCAGGUUGUCAGGAAAUCUGAAAGUAGGGAGGGAUAUUUCAGGCCACCUUAUGUAUUUUAUAAAUUCAUCCCUUUGUUGAUUGAGUUGACAAAUAAUUAUUGAAUUUCUUCUAUGAGUCAGUCAUGGUGCUAGACACUGGGGACUGAGUAGUAAACAAGAGAAAAAAAAUAUAUGGAUAAUUUCUGUUUAAAAAGAUGGAGUCAGAAAGGAGGGAUAUGUAGCAGAGGGAUACCCCAAUCUACUAGUAAGUUUCUCAGAAAAGAUUACAGUGAAGUAGAGACCCACAUAAACAAGAGGAGCCAAUCAUGAAAAAACAAAUAAACAUAUAAACAGAAAAGAAAUACA